rnacentral:tRNA from 1 species
CAGAUAGUAGUUUAAGUAAAAUGUUGGCAUUGGAAGCUAAUGAUCAAGUAGUCUUGCUGUCUGA